CCUAGUACGAGAGGACCGGAGUGGACGAACCUCUGGUGUUCGGGUUGUGUCGCCAGACGCAUUGCCCGGUAGCUAAGUUCGGAAUCGAUAACCGCUGAAAGCAUCUAAGCGGGAAGCGAGCCCUGAGAUGAGUCUUCCCUGAUACUUUAAGUAUCCUAAAGGGUUGUCGGAGACUACGACGUUGAUAGGUCAGGUGUGUAAGUGCUGUGAGGCAUUGAGCUAACUGAUACUAAUUGCCCGUGAGGCUUAACCAUACAACACCCAAGGGGUUU
rnacentral:rRNA from 1 species